rnacentral:rRNA from 1 species
CUGCAUGAAGUCGGAAUUGCUAGUAAUCGCGGAUCAGCAUGCCGCGGUGAAUACGUUCCCGGGCCUUGUACACACCGCCCGUCACACCAUGGGAGCCGGUAAUACCCGAAGUCAGUAGUCCAACCUCGUGAGGACGCUGCCGAAGGUAGGAUUGGCGACUGGGGUGAAGUCGUAACAAGGUACC